GACGAACGCCGGCGGCGUGCCUAAUACAUGCAAGUAGAACGCUGAAGAGAGGAGCUUGCUCUUCUUGGAUGAGUUGCGAACGGGUGAGUAACGCGUAGGUAACCUGCCUUGUAGCGGGGGAUAACUAUUGGAAACGAUAGCUAAUACCGCAUAACAAUGGAUGACACAUGUCAUUUAUUUGAAAGGGGCAAUUGCUCCACUACAAGAUGGACCUGCGUUGUAUUAGCUAGUAGGUGAGGUAACGGCUCACCUAGGCGACGAUACAUAGCCGACCUGAGAGGGUGAUCGGCCACACUGGGACUGAGACACGGCCCAGACUCCUACGGGAGGCAGCAGUAGGGAAUCUUCGGCAAUGGGGGCAACCCUGACCGAGCAACGCCGCGUGAGUGAAGAAGGUUUUCGGAUCGUAAAGCUCUGUUGUAAGUCAAGAACGAGUGUGAGAGUGGAAAGUUCACACUGUGACGGUAGCUUACCAGAAAGGGACGGCUAACUACGUGCCAGCAGCCGCGGUAAUACGUAGGUCCCGAGCGUUGUCCGGAUUUAUUGGGCGUAAAGCGAGCGCAGGCGGUUUGAUAAGUCUGAAGUUAAAGGCUGUGGCUCAACCAUAGUUCGCUUUGGAAACUGUCAAACUUGAGUGCAGAAGGGGAGAGUGGAAUUCCAUGUGUAGCGGUGAAAUGCGUAGAUAUAUGGAGGAACACCGGUGGCGAAAGCGGCUCUCUGGUCUGUAACUGACGCUGAGGCUCGAAAGCGUGGGGAGCGAACAGGAUUAGAUACCCUGGUAGUCCACGCCGUAAACGAUGAGUGCUAGGUGUUGGAUCCUUUCCGGGAUUCAGUGCCGCAGCUAACGCAUUAAGCACUCCGCCUGGGGAGUACGACCGCAAGGUUGAAACUCAAAGGAAUUGACGGGGGCCCGCACAAGCGGUGGAGCAUGUGGUUUAAUUCGAAGCAACGCGAAGAACCUUACCAGGUCUUGACAUCCCGAUGCUAUUUCUAGAGAUAGAAAGUUACUUCGGUACAUCGGUGACAGGUGGUGCAUGGUUGUCGUCAGCUCGUGUCGUGAGAUGUUGGGUUAAGUCCCGCAACGAGCGCAACCCCUAUUGUUAGUUGCCAUCAUUCAGUUGGGCACUCUAGCGAGACUGCCGGUAAUAAACCGGAGGAAGGUGGGGAUGACGUCAAAUCAUCAUGCCCCUUAUGACCUGGGCUACACACGUGCUACAAUGGUUGGUACAACGAGUUGCGAGUCGGUGACGGCAAGCUAAUCUCUUAAAGCCAAUCUCAGUUCGGAUUGUAGGCUGCAACUCGCCUACAUGAAGUCGGAAUCGCUAGUAAUCGCGGAUCAGCACGCCGCGGUGAAUACGUUCCCGGGCCU
rnacentral:rRNA from 1 species